CUUAAAAAUAAUCGACGUGCGCACACUUCUCUUUUUAAUUCUUUGAUUUAUCAACAGCCGAUUAUUUUGCUGUCGUUGCGGUUUUUGGCGACAUUUUGUUUUAAUGUGUUUUAAAGACUUCAGAAAACGAUUUAACGUGAUUUUUUGGAUGUUUUUGUGAUCAAACAUCUCUACUUUUAUAUGUAUCUUUUAUUUGAAUCUAGUGUAUAGUGUGAAUGACAGUGUUUUAAUGAAGGAUGAAUCAACUUAAGGCAAAUUAAGAUAUUAAUAUAAUCAUAUUACACCAAGAAGGAUCACACAAACUUCUCUAAUAAGGGAAUUUCUUGAUGGUUAGGAGAUGAAGACCGUCCUUGGAGAUGAUAACGGUUCUUGGGAUGUAAUUGAAAAUCCCAUGAAGACGAGUUAAAUAUAAUGUGCAGUAAUUAAUAGGUAUAUCAUAAUAAUAAAUAAAUUUAUUGUAGUUGCGAAGCUAGUAUUUUGUGAAAGCAGGGAGUUUAGGAGUUGCUAUGGUUCAAGGUUUUCAAAUUCGCCAUGUCCCUCUAUGUCUUAAUCUUUUAUGUUGUUUUACACAAUGUUAUAACGCCUAUGCCUGUUAAAAAAACAAGGUUUGUCCUUUUUGUGAUUGCUUAAUUUAGAAACUAAGCGAAAAAACGUAUUCUACAA